rnacentral:lncRNA from 1 species
UUCUUUUGUCAUAUCCUUCAAAGAAUGGCCAGGGAGUCCUUUCCUCUCUUCUCCCCAAGGAGUUGAAAGAAAAUAAAAAUGUUGUAAAGUGGUCCAUCAGCUACAGUCAAGGGGCUAAUUCCAAGACUGGAAGCAGAGAUUAGGAUUGAAUCUCCAUUCUUUCAUCCAGUGCUGGUCUAAACAAAGCCCCAACGAUACCAGGGAAGAAAACACUCAAGCACCAGCAAAGGUAUAAAGGGAAAAACCUGAAGUCUGGUUCACUGGGCUUCCAAAGCCCCAGAUUUACGAGAGGAUUUGGCUGGCUGUGACAAGAAGCCACAUUCAUGGAAUAUGAAAGGGAAGAAGUUUGCCCUGUGCAGAGUGGUGAACUUCAUUUCCUUCUGAGUGGGGUUUUCAGAUCUAGCCAGGAGCAUGGAGGACACCUUCAGAACGGAGGAGAAUUCCAUCAUCCCUGCAGCAUGAAGCAGCUUCACCAUCAGUCUGAGGUGCCACUAUUCCCCCAUGGAGUCUCAGGCCAUCAGGCCUAUUAUCUGGCCAAUCCUGCUUCCUGCUACUCUCCUAAGAAUUCCACCCAUCCACCCACUUGUUACCCAAUACCUUGUCCAACCCCUCCCUUCAUCCCUGGCAUCCUGCCCACCACUCUAAUUCUAUAGAAUGGUCUAAUUGAUAAAACGUGGGCCUUGGAGGCAGAGAACCUAAUUCUAAUCCUGACUCUGUCAUUUGCCUGAUGUGUGACGUUGGGCAAGUCACAUAACAUCUUAGUGCCUUAGUUUCUUGAUCUGUAAAAUGCAGAUAAAAUACUUGUUCUCUCCCUCCUACUUAGAUUGUGAGCCUCACUAGGGACAGGUGCUGUGUUUUUUCCUAGAGCAUCAUAUAUGAACCCAGUGUGUAGUACAGUUCUUGGCACAUAAUAAGCAUUUAACAAAUAUCUCAACUAUUAUUAUUAUUACUCAGAAAGACCACAUUAUUUGUGGAACUUGCUGUAGUGAGAGGCCAAAGUGGAAGUCAAGAUGGAUGACCUAAAAGGGGCCUUUGGGCAUCUUCCAUCAGUGGUCCUCAUAAUCAGGCUAAGUGAAUAAGCAAGUAUUGUGGUGAUUUAAGUGAUGGAUGAAGAGACGUCCAUGCCAAAUGGGCACAGGGAUCAUGUCUACCAACUCUAUUGUAUUGUACUCUCCCAAGUGUGUGGUACAGUGCUCUGCACACAGUAAGUAUCCAAAAAAUGACAUUGAUGGAAGAAUUUUCCCAAGCCUUGCCUGCUUCUACACUUCUUACUAACUCUUUUGUGGCCUUCCUUCUAUUUUAUUGACACCAUUACAUUGACUCAGCCUUUAAGUUGGCAUCAUGUUAGAUCCCUGGGUUGGGAUGAGGUGUCAGUAAAUUGGUACUGGCCUAGCUCCUCACCCAGGGUAUUUCACUCGUUUCCUAUAUCCCACAUAGGUUAAAAGAACACAAGCGUAUGUCUGGAGCAGAUACUCUCAGGCCCACAGACAUACGCUAAUUUCCAUAGGGUUAAACCAAGCGGAAUGGAAGGUGGAGGUGGAGAAUAUUAAAUUCGCUCAUUAUGCCUGCUGCCUGCAUCUCAUUAG